AACGAACGCUGGCGGCAGGCUUAACACAUGCAAGUCGAGCGCCCCUUCGGAGGGAGCGGCGGACGGGUUAGUAACGCGUGGGAACGUGCCUUUCGCUACGGAAUAGCCCAGGGAAACUUGGAUUAAUACCGUAUACGCCCUUUUGGGAAAGAUUUAUCGGACGAGAGAUCGGCCCGCGUUGGAUUAGGUAGUUGGUGGGGUAAUGGCCUACCAAGCCGACGAUACCAUAGCUGGUUUGAGAGGAUGAUCAGCAACACU
rnacentral:rRNA from 1 species